UAGACUGCGAUUGCUCCAUCCGUUCGAGUUUCUUCUUUUAGCUCUGAAAGGCACACUCUGUGAAGAAUAUCAUUCCUGGAUACCAUACCUGUUCCUGUACGAAGAACACCCCUUGAGAGAUCGAAAGUGAUCUACCACACGCGAUGGAGCACCAAGAGAAUCCUAAUAUAUUACUUUUGGAGUGGGAAUACUUUCGUGGAGAAGUGUUUUAUCCCAUUCAAAGGACCAUUGGAGAUGAGUUUCACAUACACGAACUUCUCGGCUACGGAGAGACUUCCAAAGUCUAUCGCGGACUUCACGUCAGUACCUCCACGCAGGUUGCAAUCAAGCGGAGUUUCGAAGAUCGGAGGUCAUUGGUGGCGCUGGACAGGGAGGCAUAUGCACUGCGUACAUUUUGCCACCCGGUGAUUCCUUUCUAUUUUGCAUCCAUAGUCACAGCAUGGGGGUGGUGUGUUAUCCGGGAGCUGGUAGAGGGCGUUACUCUGGAUUUGUCACCAGGCUUUGGCGAUCCAACUGAAUUCCAGGCAGCCAGAAUCUUUGGUCAGUUGGCGGAUGGUCUUAGCUACUUACAUGCAUCGGGCACCGU